UACGAAGGGGGGCUAGCGUUGCUCGGAAUCACUGGGCGUAAAGCGCACGUAGGCGGAUCUUUUAAGUCAGGGGUGAAAUCCCAAGGCUCAACCUUGGAACUGCCUUUGAUACUGGGGAUCUCGAGUCCGGAAGAGGUUGGUGGAACUGCGAGUGUAGAGGUGAAAUUCGUAGAUAUUCGCAAGAACACCAGUGGCGAAGGCGGCUCACUGGCCCGAUACUGACGCUGAGGCACGAAAGCGUGGGGAGCAAACAGGG
rnacentral:rRNA from 1 species